ACAACGGCUCUUUUAAGAGCCACCCACUUACAAUUAAUGAGCCUU
rnacentral:ncRNA from 1 species